UGGGGAAUAUUGGACAAUGGGCGAAAGCCUGAUCCAGCAAUGCCGCGUGUGUGAAGAAGGCCUUAGGGUUGUAAAGCACUUUCAGCAGGGAAGAAAAGCGCAGGGUUAAUACCUUUGUGCCUUGACGUAACCUGCAGAAGAAGCACCGGCUAACUCCGUGCCAGCAGCCGCGGUAAUACGGAGGGUGCAAGCGUUAAUCGGAAUUACUGGGCGUAAAGCGCGCGUAGGCGGUUUGAUAAGUCGGGUGUGAAAGCCCCGGGCUUAACUUGGGAAUGGCAUUCGAUACUGUCAAGCUAGAGUAUGGUAGAGGGAAGCGGAAUUCCGCAUGUAGCGGUGAAAUGCGUAGAUAUGCGGAGGAACACCAGUGGCGAAGGCGGCUUCCUGGAUCAAUACUGACGCUGAGGCGCGAAAGCGUGGGGAGCAAACAG
rnacentral:rRNA from 1 species